GGAAACGUGGCUUUAGAUCUCCAGCAUUUGUCAGGCCACCUGAAUAAGCAUUCUGUAAAAACAAAAUGAAACAAACACACAGGAUUUUAAACUCAAGGAACUUUUGGAAAUACAGCGUGUUACCAUCUUUUUCCUGGUGAUUCAUGGAUCUAUUAAAGUUGCCUUCAGUAGAGGAAUCUGCUUAUCUGCUUAACUUUGUGUAAUCUGUCAUUUUCCAAUCUUAUGUGCCAUGAAACUCUUCUAUCCAAGUAAUGCCUAUUAAUAAUGACCAGUGGAAAUACUUCUGUGACACAUACUCUGGGAAACCCUGCAAUAUAGGGACCAGAAACAUGAAAAAUAAUUACUAUUCUAUGGUAUUGAUUUAGGCUAUUUAGUUCAAUUAGAUAGUAAUCAGAAAUAAAACAUACGACUUUUGGAAAAGGGAAGAAAAAUGAAAACUUUACAGAAGACUGAAAUACCUAGUUUACUAUGAAGGUGAGACAUUUAUUUUGUUCCUUUUUUUUUAGCUCUGGUAACCAGAGUACCUAUGUGCAACACAAACAUGUUCAGUAAAUUCUUGUUGAUGGAAGGAAGGCUUCAUGGAAGGAGGGAUUGAUGGAGAGAGUUUUUUUAUUUUCCAUAGCAGAACUUGGGGAUCCCAGACUGUGAACCACAGUGAAAACAAAGCCCACGGCCAAAGUCUGCAAAGCACUAUGAGAAUCGUCAGCCAUCACUUGGAAGCACCAGAGCAUCAGGCAUUGUCCAAACGCCAUUGUCGGAGUCCUUGCACCGACGCACAGUGUUUCCCACUCUUCGCCCCUCCUUUCUCUCCCUGCCAAGAACCCAACUCAGUUUAAGCAGGUGCAGUCUUCCAAGUCUUGGCGGUUAGUGUCCCCAAGAGAUUUCAGGGAGAUGCAGCCUUGGCUGAGGGUCAGAGCCAGAGGCUCCGUGAGGCUCAGUUCCCUCAGGGAGGGGCACAAUGUCUGCGUUUGGGGAACAGCUGGAGCUCCAGAGGGAGAAAAGCAGUUUGGCAAGUGAGGAAAGAAUGUACUUGUCACUUCAAGAGGCAAGAAACUUCAGUUUCUCUCCUGCUUCUGCCAGCAAGUGUUGAUUGGAAAGGAGAGUGGUGGUGAUGGCAGGUGACUUUUGGUUAGGGCUUUAUGGAAUGUGUCAUGUUUAUUUUACCUUUUCAAAGAGCAGAUAAAUGUACAAAUCCCACAGUAUAACUAUUCUGAAUUCUGCUCUUGUUUUUAUUGGAUAAGUGAGUGUUGUUCCUCAGAGUUAUUUUUAAGAAUGCUGCCUCUGGCCCAUUUUGAAAGGCUGCUUGCUUUCCUUGUGUGUGAGCUAAAAUUUGUUGUAGGGAAUUUGGAAGAAGGUAGCAGAGGGUAUUAAAUGGAAGGUGAAGGCCUACGGGAGGAAGAACCCUGUUCUGAGAGCACGAGCUGGAUUUACAAUGGGGGAAUCCGAUGGGCCUGUUCAGACAAAACAUGGACUUUUAGCUGACACCAAAGGUGAGGUUAUAAAACGUUUGAUGCAGUCGAGGGGGAAAUAAAGUUUUUAAGAUGUCCUACUCUUUGGUUGUGUCUUGAGUGCUCUGAUUUCCUUGGAUUCUUAUGGAAAUGAACACAAGAGACCAAUUUUUUCCAUCUCUGAAUUCCCUUUGUUAGACUUGGAAAGUGUCACCCAGUCUUAAGUAUUACUUAUAAAAUGAACAAGAAGUUCAAUAUUAAUAUUCAAAAAAACAAUAAUUGUUACCAUUUCAAGGUCUCUUAUCUCCCUUCCUCAAUUCCCA
ensembl:lincRNA